rnacentral:rRNA from 1 species
ACGCUGGCGGCGUGCUUAACACAUGCAAGUCGAACGGAAAGGCCCUGCUUUUGUGGGGUGCUCGAGUGGCGAACGGGUGAGUAACACGUGAGUAACCUGCCCUUGACUUUGGGAUAACUUCAGGAAACUGGGGCUAAUACCGGAUAGGAGCUCCUGCUGCAUGGUGGGGGUUGGAAAGUUUCGGCGGUUGGGGAUGGACUCGCGGCUUAUCAGCUUGUUGGUGGGGUAGUGGCUUACCAAGGCUUUGACGGGUAGCCGGCCUGAGAGGGUGACCGUCCACAUUGGGACUGAGAUACGGCCCAGACUCCUACGGGAGGCAGCAGUGGGGAAUAUUGCACAAUGGGCGGAAGCCUGAUGCAGCAACGCCGCGUGCGGGAUGACGGCCUUCGGGUUGUAAACCGCUUUCGCCUGUGACGAAGCGUGAGUGACGGUAAUGGGUAAAGAAGCACCGGCUAACUACGUGCCAGCAGCCGCGGUGAUACGUAGGGUGCGAGCGGUGUCCGGAUUUAUUGGGCGUAAAGGGCUCGUAGGUGGUUGAUCGCGUCGGAAGUGUAAUCUUGGGGCAUAACCCUGAGCGUGCUUUCGAUACGGGUUGACUUGAGGAAGGUAGGGGAGAAUGGAAUUCCUGGUGGAGCGGUGGAAUGCGCAGAUAUCAGGAGGAACACCAGUGGCGAAGGCGGUUCUCUGGGCCUUUCCUGACGCUGAGGAGCGAAAGCGUGGGGAGCGAACAGGCUUAGAUACCCUGGUAGUCCACGCUGUAAACGGUGGGUACUAGGUGUGGGGUCCAUUCCACGGGUUCCGUGCCGUAGCUAACGCCUUAAGUACCCCGCCUGGGGAGUACGGCCGCAAGGCUAAAACUCAAAGGAAUUGACGGGGCCCCGCACAAGCGGCGGAGCAUGCGGAUUAAUUCGAUGCAACGCGUAGAACCUUACCUGGGUUUGACAUGGAUCGGGAGUGCUCAGAGAUGGGUGUGCCUCUUUUGGGGUCGGUUCACAGGUGGUGCAUGGCUGUCGUCAGCUCGUGUCGUGAGAUGUUGGGUUAAGUCCCGCAACGAGCGCAACCCUUGUUCACUGUUGCCAGCACGUUAUGGUGGGGACUCAGUGGAGACCGCCGGGGUCAACUCGGAGGAAGGUGGGGAUGACGUCAAGUCAUCAUGCCCCUUAUGUCCAGGGCUUCACGCAUGCUACAAUGGCUGGUACAGAGAGUGGCGAGCCUGUGAGGGUGAGCGAAUCUCGGAAAGCCGGUCUCAGUUCGGAUUGGGGUCUGCAACUCGACCUCAUGAAGUCGGAGUCGCUAGUAAUCGCAGAUCAGCAACGCUGCGGUGAAUACGUUCCCGGG